UUCUUAUAAUUAAUGAUUAUACCAGAUGUUUAAAAGAUAAUUUAUAUAAACGUGUCUGUGUUAUUUAUGACUAUACAUAGGCCACAAGGUCACACACAAACAAGGAGAAUUUCACAUAUGUUAAGAUGUAUAAAUAUUUCUACCAUGAAUAUUUAAUCGUGAACGUAUCGUUAACGACUAAGGAAAAUUAAUUAGAUUCAAUCGUUUUGAAACAGCCGUUCGAUUCAGGUGAAAAAAAAUUAAAACGUUGAAACCUGAAACUGUGUUUAUCAUGAACAAAAAAGUCUAUAUUAGGAAAAUUUAAUAUUUAUUAAUAUUUCAUCCAAUACACAUACGUCUGAAAAGAAACAUAAUUGAUAAGAGGUACCAGAGGUCGAGGCAGAUAAGGAUUAUUAAACUGCUAAACGGUUGUUCUCAACUAAAGAAUUGUAGUUUUCCAAACACAGUGAUCACAGGCUUAAUAACAAAUUCUUUAUAAUUGAAUUUUUUUAAAAUUAUAAUGUACAUUUUAUAUUCGUAAUGUUGAUAAUGUUUCUCGUGACCACAGUCAAAUUGAUCUAAAAAUCUUCAAACUGUAAAACAAAUGAAAUUUCUACACGCACACACAUAAAAUUGUGAACAUCGUUAUUAUGCUAAUGUAAUCAAAAAUG